GACGAACGCUGGCGGCGUGCCUAAUACAUGCAAGUAGAACGCUGAAGGAGGAGCUUGCUUCUCUGGAUGAGUUGCGAACGGGUGAGUAACGCGUAGGUAACCCGCCUGGUAGCGGGGGAUAACUAUUGGAAACGAUAGCUAAUACCGCAUAAUAGCAGUUAUUGCAUGAUAACUGUUUGAAAGGUGCAAUUGCACCACUACCAGAUGGACCUGCGUUGUAUUAGCUAGUUGGUGGGGUAACGGCUCACCAAGGCGACGAUACAUAGCCGACCUGAGAGGGUGAUCGGCCACACUGGGACUGAGACACGGCCCAGACUCCUACGGGAGGCAGCAGUAGGGAAUCUUCGGCAAUGGACGGAAGUCUGACCGAGCAACGCCGCGUGAGUGAAGAAGGUUUUCGGAUCGUAAAGCUCUGUUGUAAGAGAAGAACGAGUGUGAGAGUGGAAAGUUCACACNGNGACGG
rnacentral:rRNA from 1 species